rnacentral:rRNA from 1 species
GUACGUACAAGCAGUGGGAGCACAGGUUUACCUGUGUGACUGCGUACCUUUUGUAUAAUGGGUCAGCGACUUAUAUUCUGUAGCAAGGUUAACCGAAUAGGGGAGCCGGAGGGAAACCGAGUCUUAAUUGGGCGUUAAGUUGCAGGGUAUAGACCCGAAACCCGGUGAUCUAGCCAUGGGCAGGUUGAAGGUUGGGUAACACUAACUGGAGGACCGAACCGACUAAUGUUGAAAAAUUAGCGGAUGACCUGUGGCUGGGGGUGAAAGGCCAAUCAAACCGGGAGAUAGCUGGUUCUCCCCGAAAGCUAUUUAGGUAGCGCCUCGUGAAUUCAUCUCCGGGGGUAGAGCACUGUUUCGGCUAGGGGGCCAUCCCGGCUUACCAACCCGAUGCAAACUGCGAAUACCGGAGAAUGUUAUCACGGGAGACACACGGCGGGUGCUAACGUCCGUCGUGAAGAGGGAAACAACCCAGACCGCCAGCUAAGGUCCCAAAGUCAUGGUUAAGUGGGAAACGAUGUGGGAAGGCCCAGACAGCCAGGAUGUUGGCUUAGAAGCAGCCAUCAUUUAAAGAAAGCGUAAUAGCUCACUGGUCGAGUCGGCCUGCGCGGAAGAUGUAACGGGGCUAAACCAU